GGAGGUGUAGUAUAGUUCAAGUGGUAGCCUGCAUGCUUAGCAUACACGAGGUCCUGGGUUCAAUCCCCAGUACCUCCU
rfam:Camelus ferus unplaced genomic scaffold scaffold595, whole genome shotgun sequence.